rnacentral:rRNA from 1 species
CCUACGGGCGGCAGCAGUCGAGAAUCAUUCACAAUGGGGGAAACCCUGAUGCUGCGACGCCGCGUGGGGGAAUGAAGUUCUUCGGAUUUUAAACCCCUGUCAUGGGGGAGCAAAUUAAAAAGAUAGUACCACAAGAGGAAGAGACGGCUAACUCUGUGCCAGCAGCCGCGGUAAUACAGAGGUCUCAAGCGUUGUUCGGAAUCACUGGGCGUAAAGCGCGCGUAGGCGGUUUCGUGAGUCGUGUGUGAAAGGCGCGGGCUUAACCCGAGGACGGCACAUGAUACUGGGAGACUAGAGUAAUGGAGGGGGAAGUGGAAUUCUCGGUGUAGCAGUGAAAUGCGUAGAUAUCGAGAGGAACACUCGUGGCGAAGGCGGCUUCCUGGACAUUAACUGACGCUGAGGCACGAAGGCGAGGGGAGCGAAAGGGAUUAGAUACCCUAGUAGUC